rnacentral:rRNA from 1 species
AGGACGAACGCUGGCGGCGUGCUUAACACAUGCAAGUCGAGCGGUGAUCCUCCUUCGGGAGGUGAUCAGCGGCGAACGGGUGAGUAACACGUGGGCAACCUGCCCCUCACACUGGGAUAACCUCGGGAAACCGGGGCUAAUACCGGAUACGACCUCGAGCGGCAUCUCUUGAGGUGGAAAGCUCCGACGGUGAGGGAUGGGCCCGCGGCCUAUCAGCUUGUUGGUGGGGUAAUGGCCUACCAAGGCGACGACGGGUAGCCGGCCUGAGAGGGCGACCGGCCACACUGGGACUGAGACACGGCCCAGACUCCUACGGGAGGCAGCAGUGGGGAAUAUUGCGCAAUGGGCGAAAGCCUGACGCAGCGACGCCGCGUGAGGGAUGAAGGCCUUCGGGUUGUAAACCUCUUUCAGCAGGGACGAAGCGAAAGUGACGGUACCUGCAGAAGAAGCACCGGCUAACUACGUGCCAGCAGCCGC